UACGUAGGUGGCAAGCGUUAUCCGGAUUUACUGGGUGUAAAGGGCGUGUAGGCGGUCUCGCAAGUCGGAUGUGAAAUUCCCGGGCUUAACCCGGGAGCUGCAACCGAAACUGCGGGACUUGAGUGCUGGAGAGGAUAGUGGAAUUCCUAGUGUAGCGGUAAAAUGCGUAGAUAUUAGGAGGAACACCGGUGGCGAAGGCGACUAUCUGGACAGUAACUGACGCUGAGGCGCGAAAGCGUGGGGAGCAAACAGG
rnacentral:rRNA from 1 species